GCUUUUCUCAUAUGCUUCUUGGGCAUAUUAUUGUAAUUUGAAGAGGUUCUGAAAAUAGAGGCAAUAAGACUGUUUCUGCUUACAUGCUGUGAAAUUCUCACCAUAAGAUUUUUAAACUGAACUUGCUCAACAGGCAGAGAGAACCACCUUCUUUUUCAAAGACAGAGGAGGACUUGUUCAGCAAGAGGAAAAGGCAGCAUAGCAGUCUCUGAAGGGGCACGUUGAGUGCGCCUGUGAUUGCUGCUCCUAUCAAUUGUUCUCCUCUCAUCAGAAGAUGCCAAAGAAACAUAACAUGUGCAUGUCACAGGGAGAGUAAGUUUAAAGCAGAAGCUAACCUAAGUGGCUGGAAAAAACAUCUUCAAAAGAGAAGAUCAUUUGAUUUAUACGUUUUGUGGUCUAAAAGUCCAAAAGGACCAGUGCUUAGCAUAGCAGUAUUUUCCUCAGUCUGCUGCAGGUGACCUUAGUAGAAAAGUCAGAGAGCUACCUCCAUCUCUGUCUGCCAUGUGAGAACACAAGAACUCAGAAGUCUACAAAUAAAAAAAGAAGUCACCAUGCUGACAACCUGAUAUCUGAGUUCCAGCCUCCACAACUUGAGAAGUACUUUCUGUUUGUAAGUCCUCCAGUCUAUGGUAUAUGGAUAGAGCAGCUAAAAUUAAGAUGCUUUAUCCAGGAAUUAUUUGCAUGGACUCUGCAGUGUGAAGAGCUGGCUGUGAAUACAUGAAGGGAUAAAGGUUGCUGAAGAAGUUAGACAAAUAAAAUGACUAGACAGGACAAUUUGAAUGUGAAGUGCCUCUAGAAAGAAGUGACAAAUGGCAUCAUAAUGCAGUGCUUAGAACUACUCCAGAAUAUAAAAUUAACCCUCAGAAAGUGUUCUGAAUGUAUAAAACUAACACUGGUAUCAGAAGUAGUGGGUGAUGGCAAACCUUACCCACUUCAUCAAAAUAGAUUCUGGAGGAGACAUGGAAUAAAAUGCAACAAUCUUCUUAA